GACAACAACCAAUCAUCAGCAGAACCUUUCCUCCGCAAACCCAGCAUGUAAAUAAAUAAUCUGCGCUGGUUAAUCCGGGAUGUGACUCCCUGAUCCUCUGCUUAUUAGAUCCGUUUUAUGAAUGGGAGAUUAUAAAUAAAGACUCGUUCAAUACCGGAACCAUGUGGAACCGGUUCCUUAAAACUGGAACCGGACCAGUCAGCCCCCCAAAUAGACGGACACAGACGCACAUCGCAUCUUCUUCUGGUCCUUUUUUUCCUGGUCCUUCUGUUUUCCUUCAGCUGCAGUUAGCUCCGUUAGCAUAAUGCUAACAUAGGCCUGAUUCUGUAUGAAGCUAGGUGAGCAUCGGCGAUGAGCUCACGUUAAGUACUUUAAAUUACUAAAAACUACUUAUAUCCGUACCAGAACCAUCCAAAGUUCGGUUCAAAGCCUCUCUGUGUUACUGAUCAUCACAGAGCACCGCUAGCUCCGCGGCUAGCUCCCCCUGCUAAAAGCUAACCGCAGCAUCACCGUCACACCUGCACAGUCCAAUAGGUGGCGGUAAUAGACCUCCACGCUGGUUGCCCACCGCUUGAAAACACCAACAGAGGAAGGAGGAGAAGAAGGAGAAGAAGAAGCGGGGCCAUUUGAAAACAAAAAUGGCGGAAGUUCGGAGAGUUCUGGAGCGCUGUGACCCGGUUCUGUUGGAGCCCUGCGGUGAACCCGAACCGGACUGCGCCGAGGCAGCAGGAACGGUUCUGUUCCUCACGGUCAGUACCUGGUCUCUGGUCCAAUCAUUCACGGAACACCCGAGGUCCGUGGUUCCAGAACCAAAUGUCCUUAAUCAGCAUUAUUAGAGUUGUGCUGUAAAAUUAUUCCGCCCGGAACAGAAUAAUUCAAACGUAUCAUUCAAGUCCAAUAAUAUAUUGAUAUUCAGAGGGAGAUGGAGAGUUUGUUUGUGUUGCCCAAUUUUGACCUUUUGUGUUAAAAUCUCUAACCUUGUGAGGACUGAUAAAUCGAGUU